rnacentral:tRNA from 1 species
UAGCUCAGAUGGUAAAGAAUCUGCCUGCAAUGCAGGAGACCCAGGUUUGAUUCCUGG